rnacentral:misc_RNA from 1 species
CCCUAGCCCUGAUAGAGCCGAUAUCCUCGCAGCGCAGCGGAGAGAUAAAGGCGAAAGCAGGUUCCCGG